CAUAAAGUGUCUUAGUCGAUAUCAAACACUCAAUUAAGACGCACCAAAGCUAAUAAAUUCAUUCAUAUUUUUGAUAUAUUGGAUCAGCUCUGAAAUGAACGCUGCUAGAGCAUAUUAUAUAUGCAACAACCCAGCUCAUCCCUCGAAUCAGCAGAGGGAAUACGACUACAUUUUUGCUCGCGAAAUAAACAUUCACCCAAUUCCAUGUCCAGUUUGUCACAUGUGUAACAGUCCAAUCAGAAAGGAAGAAGCAUCGGACCGCGAACUUUUUCAAAAAUUGGCAAAAAUUGCAGAUACGCUAUUGAAAAAUCAAAAAAGAUGAAAUAUUCAUAUUUUUGUUAAAUUUCUAUUAAACAAAAUAAAAUAAUGUGAUAUUGAAUCACCGUCGUUGAUUAAAAAUA